CCCCGGCGCAGCCGCACUGAAGCCCGAAGGGGUUAAAACCUAAUCGCGGGGGAGGAGGCCAGAACCCAGGCGUUCUGGCCCCUCCUCCCUCCGUCCCUAGCUCAGGGUCCCAUUCUCCGACGCAAAGACGACAAGGCCUGGCUUCAGGGCCCUGCAGGCCUGGGCUGGAGAGCCACAUCCUGGGUCGGGCGGGGGUCGGUGGCUGGGGACCCGGACUCCUGGGUUCUGGGAGGCUGCGGGAGCCUUCAAAUGGGUCCAGAGGAUGCCAGGGACCAACACACUUGGAACCGGGUGUCUUACUGUCUGGACCUGAGACCAAGCCCCUGCCCUUUCUCCCCGGAGUCUUGGCCUUCUGCUCUGCCUUCCAAGGAUCCCAGGGCUCACUGCUGUUUCCUCAAAUAACUAGAAUGCGGUCUUCCCCAAGCCCACUGGAGCACUCGUCCUGUAUGUGCAUCUGCGCAUGUAUGUUUGGGUAGAUGUGUGUCAAAAGAGCUUAGAGGGCCAAGUGGGUAAUAAAGGGCCGAGAGGUGGUUCAUGGUUUGUUCC